AACUUGAGAAACUGCAAGUCGCUUCUGGUGUGAAAGAAUUGGCCAUCUGCAAGGACGCUGCCCAGGGUCGCCCGGAUGUUUGAUGUUUUACCAUAUUGUGGGAGGCUUCUUUCAUGUCUCUGCAUGGAAAAAGUAGGAGAAAAGGACAGCCUCUUCUCUGAUAUCAACAGCAUGCCAUCUUAUUGCACCAGAACCAAAACUACACCUGCCAUUGGACUAGACUUUCAGUCUUUCCGAAGUUUUGAAUGUGCUCCCUCCUACUGCACCAAUCCACCUGUUACUGAGUUUUGGAGGCUUCACAUAUGCCAUCUUAAAGCUACCUUUGUCAAUACAUUGUUUCACUUAAUACUAAAGAAAUAAAUGAGAAUUGAGUCA